UGAAUUAUUCACCCUUGUCUUUUGCGUACUUCUUGUUUCCUUGGUGGGUUCGCCCACCACUAGGACAAACAUAAACCUUUUGUAAUUGCAAUCAGCGUCAGUAACAAAUUAAUAAUUACAACUUUCAACAACGGAUCUCUUGGUUCUGGCAUCGAUGAAGAACGCAGCGAAAUGCGAUAAGUAGUGUGAAUUGCAGAAUUCAGUGAAUCAUCGAAUCUUUGAACGCACAUUGCGCCCUUUGGUAUUCCAAAGGGCAUGCCUGUUCGAGCGUCAUUUGUACCCUCAAGCUUUGCUUGGUGUUGGGCGUCUUGUCUCUAGCUUUGCUGGAGACUCGCCUUAAAGUAAUUGGCAGCCGGCCUACUGGUUUCGGAGCGCAGCACAAGUCGCACUCUCUAUCAGCAAAGGUCUAGCAUCCAUUAAGCCUUUUUUUCAACUUUUGACCUCGGAUCAGGUAGGGAUACCCGCUGAACUUAAGCAUAUCAAUAAGCGGAGGAAAAGAAACCAACAGGGAUUGCCCUAGUAACGGCGAGUGAAGCGGCAACAGCUCAAAUUUGAAAUCUGGCUCUUUUAGAGUCCGAGUUGUAAUUUGCAGAGGGCGCUUUGGCUUUGGCAGCGGUCCAAGUUCCUUGGAACAGGACGUCACAGAGGGUGAGAAUCCCGUACGUGGUCGCUGGCUAUUGCCGUGUAAAGCCCCUUCGACGAGUCGAGUUGUUUGGGAAUGCAGCUCUAAAUGGGAGGUACAUUUCUUCUAAAGCUAAAUAUUGGCCAGAGACCGAUAGCGCACAAGUAGAGUGAUCGAAAGAUGAAAAGCACUUUGGAAAGAGAGUCAAACAGCACGUGAAAUUGUUGAAAGGGAAGCGCUUGCAGCCAGACUUGCUUACAGUUGCUCAUCCGGGUUUCUACCCGGUGCACUCUUCUGUAGGCAGGCCAGCAUCAGUUUGGGCGGUAGGAUAAAGGUCUCUGUCACGUACCUCCUUUCGGGGAGGCCUUAUAGGGGAGA
rnacentral:rRNA from 1 species